GAGCUGAAACAAUGCAGCUCAAUUAAAACACUAUAGAAAGUCUUGCUGCUUGUUGAGCCAUGCUAGCCAGUAUGCAGGGGAUGCAAAUAUUUGAGCUAUUACUGAAUUGAUAUUCACUGAUAUAAAGUUUGCAUCAAAAGUUUUGUAAAGCAGUCGGGCCAGGCUUUGGAAUCUACAAUGCUGGACUUACCAUGGAAAUGGAUUUGGUGGGUGCUGGGAAUCUUACUUUUAAUGGGACAUUCCCUCUUAGGCACAGAUGCUCACAAUGAUAUUUCGGGGCUGGAACGUCGCAACUCGAGGAAUAUGAUAAGUUCUGGGACUCUGGCAAGUCAGAUGGUGGUCCCAAGGAUCAGACAGGCUUUGGGUUCCGCAUCUGGAGAGGGCAGAGGUGCCCUGUCCAGAAGGAAACGGGACAUACUCUUCCCUAAUGGUGUAAAGCUAUGCUCCCAAGAGACCGUAAAUCAAGCCCUACAGAAUCAUCUGGAGUACUUUCAUCUUCGAGUUUGUCAGGAUACUGUGUGGGAGGCAUUUAAGAUCUUCUGGGACAGGCUGCCUGAGAAAGACGAGUACCAGCUGUGGAUCAACAGAUGCCAGAACGGCAGCAUUAGUGUUUUUGACAUCGGCAUGAGCUUCAGCCAAUCACCUGAGCAUCUUGAGCUCGUCACCAGUAGAGUAGCAAUGGCAUCAACAAGCGAGCCCACCGCCUCAUGGCAGCCAGAGUGCAGCCAGCAGACUACAUCAUCUCCUACAAAAGCUAAUAUCAUCGUCACCACAACUGAAAAAGUUAAAACUGUAACGUCUCCACUAACCAAAGCCCCAGCAACAGAUCUAAGGGGGGACUCCUCACUACGCGCUUCAGAAGAGACUACAGUUACUUCAGUAGAUACUACAUCUACUCCAAAAGAUACAACAGUUGCUCCAAAAGAGACUAUAGUUACAACAGCACAGACUAUAGCACAAGUAAUCCCAGCCACCAGCAUGGCCACAAUACUCGAGGUCACACUAGAGGUCACCCCUGAGCCUGAUCUUACCCUGACCUUUGAGGACUCACAAGAGAUAAGCCCCAAUUCCCCGACACAAGUCACCGGUCAGGCAACUGAUCAGAUAAGCCCCAGCACUGAACUGGAAGUGAACCAGGAAGCCCCUGAGGAAAGUAUUAGUGAAACUUCAAUAGUUGCUUUUGGAGAUAAAGAAGCUGGAGUUAUUUCAGAAGCUACCUUCAAGCCCACCUCUGAAGCUCCUGCUUCUGGUUUAGAGGAAACCCCAGCAAGCACAGAAGAAGUUUCACCUGAAGAACCUGUGCAGAUACCUGAUGUUGAGCCUCCAACAGAAGCAGCAGUACAGUCUUCAUCUAUACCUACUUUGCAUAACACACCUAAACCCACUGAAGAUGAGCAACAGGUGGUGGACAAACCUGAACAACCUCCAUCAGUGGGUUCAAUUGACAAAGCUGGUAGUGAAGUGUUCAUAGCUGAGGACACAGCUGAAGGUGAUGAAAUAGCACCUGAGUCUGUUGUUGAUGAAGAAUUACCAAUGAUGGAGGAUGAUUCACCUGAAGGUACCAGAGAUAAGGAGUCAUCAGAGAGGGCUGUAGAAGACACAAAUGUGGCUGUGGUACAAGACCCUGAAGAGGAAGAUGAGAGUGAAGUUGAAGAUAUCACAUCUGAGCCUGACAGUGAGGGAGAGAUUCAGAUGACUGAUACAACUGAAGUUACAGAGGAGACUACUAUUGUUAAAGAGGAAGAACAGACUGUCAGUGUUUCCAAAGAGGAAGAAGCACCCGGUUGGGUUGAUGUUCAGUUUGAAGCGCCUACUAAUGAGGUCUCAUUAGAAGAGACUACAACUGUAGUUGAAGACAUACCCAUUGCUGCCAUUGAAGAUCGAACAGCUGAUGAUUUAGAGAAUACACCUGAAGAAAUUACAGGUACAUCACGUAUUACUUCAGAAGACCUACCUGAAUCUGCUACAGAGCAAUAUUUACCUAAGGAGACUAGCACAAUUUAUGUUACAAGCAAUUUAGACGCACUUACAGAUGUAACAAAAGGCAUAACUAUAGCUCCUGAAGUAGUAGCACCUAAUGAUCCUACAGUUGAAGACAGAACUGAAGCUGCUGUGAAAGUCACACAUGAAAAGACCGCAGAGGAUACAUCUGUAGAUAUUACAGACCAGACAGAACCAUCCACCAAUGCUCCAGAGAUGACACCUGAAGUUGCACCUGAUGCUGUUUUUGAAGAUUACAAAAGUGAUGUCACAUCUAGCACUCAUGCUGAAGAGGACACGGUUACAGUUAUACCUGAUGCUAGUGUUGCAGAUGCCACUCCUGCAGUCAUUCCUGAUGCUUCUAUUAAAGCUGAUAUUACACCUAAUGCUGAAGAUGACACACUUGAAGUCAUACCAGAUAUGGAAGAUGACACAUCUGAGGUUAUACCUGACUCUAAUGUUCAACCUGACAGUACAUCUAAUGUAGAGCUUGGCACAUCUGAGGUCAUACCUGAUAGUAAAGAUGAUGUACCUGAGAAUAUACCUGACACUGAUGAUGGCACACCGAAGGUUAUUUCUGCCACUGAGAAUGACACACCUGAGGUCAUACCUGAUACUAAAGAUGAUGUGCCAGUGGUUAUACCUGACAUUAAAAAUGACACACCUGAGGUUAUAUCUGGCACUGAAGAUGACACCCCUGAGGUUAUAUCUGGCACUGAAGAUGACACCCCUGAGGUGAUAUCUGGCACUGAAGAUGACACCCCUGACGUGAUAUCUGGCACUGAAGAUGACACACCUGAUGUUAUAUCUGGCACUGAAGAUGACACCCCUGAUGUUAUAUCUGGCACUGAAAAUGACACCCCCGAGGUGAAAUCUGGCACUGAAGAAGACAGCCCUGAGGUGAUAUCUGGCACUGAAGAUGACACAGCUGAGGUUAUAUCUGGCACUGAAGAUGACACACCUGAGGUGAUAUCUGGCACUGAAGAUGACACACCUGAGGUGAUAUCUGGCACUGAAGAAGACACCCCUGAGGUGAUAUCUGGCACUGAAGAUGACACACCUGAGGUGAUAUCUGGCACUGAAGAUGAUACCCCUGAGGUUAUAUCUGGCAGUGAAGAUGAUUCCCCUGAGGUGAUAUCUGGCACUGAAGAUGAUAUCCCUGAGGUGAUAUCUGGCACUGAAGAUAACAUCCCUGAGGUGAUAUCUGGCACUGAAGAAGACACCCCUGAGGUGAUAUCUGGCAGUGAAGAUGACACACCUGAGGUGAUAUCUGGAACUGAAGAUGAUACCCCUGAGGUUAUAUCUGGCAGUGAAGAUGAUUCCCCUGAGGUGAUAUCUGGCACUGAAGAUGAUAUCCCUGAGGUGAUAUCUGGCACUGAAGAUGACACACCUGAGGUUAUAUCUGGCACUGAAGAUGACACCCCUGAGGUAAUAUCUGGCACUGAAGAUGACACCCCUGAGAUGAUUUCUGGCACUGAAGAUGACACACCUGAUGUUAUAUCUGGCACUGCGGAUGACACCCCUGAGGUGAUAUCUGGCACUGAAGAUGACAUCCCUGAGCUUAUAUCUGGCACCAUAGAUGACACACUUGAAUCUAGUAGUGUGGAAUCAGCUUCUGACACUGAAGCAGAAACAGCUCAAGACAAGACACCCGAGAUUCUUGAAGACACAACCUUACCUGAAACUGUGACGGCAAAAGACACACCUCUUCUACCUGUAGUUAUAGAAAUGCCUAAGUUUACAGAGGCACUUGAACCUACAAAAGGACCUGAGGCAUUUGAGUACACAACUUCACACUUACCUGAAACUGAGGUGGUGGGAGACACAAAAGUAAUUAAUGCACAUGAGGACAGACCUGAGGUUGCUAUCGAUGAGGACAUACCUAAAUUUACUGAGGCACCUAAGGACAUUCCUGAAGUUACUGAGAUAGCUCAGGACUUACUUGAAGUCACGGAGACACGCGAGUCCCCAACUUCAUCCUUAACUGAAACAGUCGUAGUGGAGGGCUUGCCUGAAGUGGCUAAAAAUGAGUAUACACCUGAACCAACAGAUGUGCCCAAACUUACUGAAAUGGUGCCUGACUCUGCUCCUAAAGUCACAACAAAAGAUGACUCCACUAGGACUGCUGUAGUCAAGCAUGUCUCAGAAGCACCUGAAGUGCCUCUGGAAAUAGACACAUCAACAGGUGCUGCUGGACAGACACCUACGGUAGAUAAGGAUGACACACCUACACCAUCAAUCAAAGUGGAGCAAAGUACUGUGGACCUAAACAAACUAACAACUUACACACAAAGAAACACCUUUUCAACACCUUUACGAACAACUACAGAGGACAUCUCGAAUGACAUUCUAGAUGAAAACAACAUGAUUGGCAAUGAAAUUGAUGACAUUAUGCCACGACCCGUGCGACCGAUGGUGGAUCAUGUAAUGGAACUGAGCAUCAAACUAAAAGGAGAAAUUUAUGAUGAUGCUCUCAGAGAUCCAUCAAGUUUUUACUACCAGCACCUGUCUGAACAGUUCAUUCAAAAGAUUGAAGAUGCCUUUGAGAAACUUCCAGGGUUCAAGAGCGUUUUUAUACUUGAAUUCAGGCCACAAAAAGACAUCCAAGGAGGUCUUGCAGUGGUGGUACACUAUGCCAUUGUCCUGGAAGGAGAUGGUGCAGGCAUUAACAAUGAAACCAUGGACUACAUCACCCUCCAGUCCAACACUGUGGAAAAGUCCUACACUGAGAAAGAGGAGCUGCCCACGGUGGUCUACACCAUUACGGACUUCCGUAACUACAUCACAGAGGCACUGCACAAGGAAACCUUUGGUAAUAAUGGGAAUAAUGGGAAUUCCACUCUGGAUGUUGAUCCUGACUCCCUAAAAUUGGAAAAUGUGGAGACGCUGCUGCCUUCCAAACCGACAAGCAGACCGCUUGACUCCAACGACAAGAUGGACAACAUUCUUGCUGCAGAAAAACCACCAGAUGUUCCUGGACAGGAACUAGACAGCAACGAUUUUUUUAUCAAAAAAGAGGAUUUCCCAUUUGGUCCCUUGCACCCAUAUGACCCCUGGAUGGGCCCUCAGGUUGAGCUGGCUAGUGAAAAUGAUGUCAUUAUCCUUGAGGAAACUACACCUCCUGCAAAAACACCACUGAAGAAUGUGGACAUUGAGUCCAUCUCUAAAUCUGAGACCACUAGCAGGGCACCCAAGCCUGCCACAGAGAAUGAUGGUACCAUCCAAGAAGAGGGCUUCCUAGAAACCACAACCACUGCUAAACCUACUUUAAAUACUAUGGUACAGGAAGCCCAUCCUACUGAGAGUACCAAGACAGAAACCCCUCCUGUGGGACCUCCACAUAUGGAGGAGACAGUGGAGGCUGACCUGGGCUCUGGAUCAGGCUUCUCCGGUGAUGGCCAAGGGCUUGACAUCUGGCCAUGGAUGCCAGAAAACCCUUCAGAAAUCUCAGGAGAGGAUUUUCAGCAAGCUGAAAGAACGACACACAUACCUUGGGAAGACCAUGAGAAGAAAAAGGAUGAAGAAGAGAUGGAGCCUGAGAUUCCAGCCCCAGAUGUGACAUCUGAAAAUCCUUUCUUAGAUAGGAUCAUUGUGACUCAAGACAUUCUUACUCACCCUCAGUACACAACCACAGACCAGGCUCCGGUGUUCUGGACCAUGGAGACGCUGACUGUGGAGCUCUCAAUGCAGACCCAAGAGGCUCCUGGCAUUUACAAUGACUACUACCCAAGUGAAUUGUCCACUUUGGUGCCUACUGUAACUACUGCAGAGAGUCUGGUUAUAGAUGGGAUAACAUUUCAAAAUCCUGGUACUUCUGAGAAUAAGCUUGAAUAUGAGGAUGUCCAGGAUACCACUGAUGUGACAAUGGCAUCAACUUUGGAGGUAACAUCAGAAGCCACAUCUUUCUCAGACACUCAUUUGGAGAACACAGCAACAGAGGGAAAUUCUAUUUUGGCUGCUACAGAGCUUCCGGCUGUUUUAAAUGUUGAAGUUGUUACAGUAGAAGGCCCUACAGCUGACCCUACUCUUAAUGAGCAACCAGUUAUUGAAGAUGUGACAGAGUUACCAGUUAUCUUCGAAUCAGAGCAAGACAAAUCAGAUACUGAAAUAGAGGUUAUUGAAGAGGAAGGGGGGGGUGUUGUGCUUGAAGUCACGGAAACCCCAGAUUUGGAAAUCUCAAAUGAGGAAAUGGGCCAAGAUGAAAUCAUAGUGGUGACCACAGCACUUCCACAAGUGGUCACCGAAGAACCAAGCAUAGAUCCAUCAACUCCUAUCUCGCCUGAAAAGGAAUCUCCAUUCACCAGAAUAUCUGACUCGGACCCAAUUGAGGAUGCUUCUCUGCUAUACUCAACGACAGAGCCAAUACCCACACAUCCGUCAACCCCAUUUGUUCCUGCAAAGACAACUUCACAAACUUCACAACCUGUUGACACAGACACUGAAACUAGGUUUGCACAUAUUGAUGAUCCUGUUGAACCAGAGGAAAUAGGCAAGGAUGGAGGUGACUUAUCCACAGUAAUUCCCCUAUCCACAACUUCAGUCAUUUUCAAUGGCACUGACAGCUCCAAGAAGAAUCGGCCAUCUACUAUUGUACCUCCAUUUUUCCAGCCAACUUUCCGACCUACAGACAGAAUAAUUGAUACAGAAGUGUCCUCAGAUGGUGAUCUAGAUGAAGACAGUGUACUGUCAACUACCAGCAUUUCUGAUCUCAUUCUUUCCAGAGAAAAUGAAGACUAUGUCAGCGGCACAACACAAGCUCGCAUUCCAGAAAACCCUGGCAUAACUGACCUCGAUGUCUCCUUUGAAAUUCUCCAGUAUGACAGUUCAAACCACUAUGACGAAAAUGGUAGCGGGCUCACUCAUGGCACUGACAUGGGUGGUGUUGCCAUGCCUGCCAUGCCUGCAGGUCCUGGACGAUCACUGAUGGUGUUUUUCAGCCUUCGCGUGACCAACAUGAUCUUCUCUGAGGAUCUGUUCAAUAAGAGUUCUGCUGAAUACAAAGCUUUAGAGCAGCGCUUUCUGGAGCUGUUGGUGCCAUACCUACAAUCCAAUCUUAGCAACUUCCAGCACUUGGAGAUCCUCAAUUUCAGGAAUGGCAGCAUUGUGGUCAACAGCAGGAUGAAAUUUGGGAAGCCGGUUCCUCGAGAAGUGACCUCUGCCGUCUACCUAAUCCUGGAGGAUUUCUGCAACACGGCCUACCAGACAAUGAACCUCGCCAUUGACAAGUAUUCUCUGGAUGUUGAAUCGGGUGAGAAAGCAGACCCAUGUAAGUUCCAGGCCUGUAACGAGUUCUCGAAGUGUUCGGUGAACCGGUGGACAGGUGAAGCGGAGUGUGUGUGCGACGCUGGCUACUUCAGCGUGGACAGCCUGCCAUGUCAGAGCAUCUGCGACAUACAGGAAGAUUUUUGCCUCAAUGAUGGCAAGUGUGACAUCAUACCUGGCAGGGGUGCCAUAUGCAGGUGUCGUGUUGGAGAGAAUUGGUGGUACCGGGGGGAACACUGUGAGGAGUAUGUUUCCGAACCUCUUGUGGUUGGCAUUGCCAUCGCCUCCGUUGCUGGCUUCCUACUUGUCGCUUCUGGAAUCAUCUUCUUCCUGGCCAGGACAUUACGAGACCAGUACGACCAAGACGACUCUGAGGACCCACUCCGACAUGCUGACAGCGUGCCGUCCCUGGAGAGAGCCACUAAGUACAACCCCAUGUUCGAGAGUGAUGUGAACUCAGGCUACAGCCGCUACAACCAGCGCUACUCUGGCGCACCGGUCAGCACGGCCAGCUGUGACGUGUCCAGUGACUUCAGCAGUGAAGAAUUACGACACAUCUAUGAAAACAGCGAGCUCACCAAAGAGGAAAUCCAGGAUCGGAUUCGGAUUCUUGAGCUCUACGCCAAAGACCGCCAGUUUGCGGACUUUGUCCGGCAGCACCAAGUGGUGCUGGACCUCAGACGAGAGAGUUCUUCCACACAGAGUUGCUGACCACGCUGCCCACAAUAAGCGUCAUUAUUAGAGCGAGACGACGGAGGAAAAGAAAACUUGCCUUGGGUCUUGAACACAUGCAAGAGGGAGGAACAUCUUCUGUUGCUAAGGUUUUAAAUGAUGGACUUUUCCGAAGUUGAAAAUGGACUUUUUCUUUGAUUUUGAUGUGUUUUAUCUCUAUUUUGUUUUGGAAAAUGGUGAAGAUGCUUCCACUGACAGGUGGUUUUCCAAUUUUGUGGGCCAGGGUGGGGUGUUUGAACAGUCUUCCCUGACCAGAUCAUGGGUCAAGUCCAAGCAACUCUUAAUCACUGGGAUUCCUGGUCCAUUUCUGUGGAUUUGUUUAUUUAUUUAAUUUUGUGUUUAUUUUGGAGGAGGGGCCAGUCACAAUCUUUUCAUUUGUCAGUGCCUUCUUUCGGAUCAGUCAGUUGCUGUUUUCACUGCGUUCGGGGGACGCUGUCGUGUUGAGGUAUGAAAGUGGAAGCAAUCGACUGAUAAGACACUGAACUGUGAUGUGUAUUUGAAGCAUGUAGAACGAUUCUAGUUGAUGAUGCUAGUUGUAAGUUGUAUAAAUGAAGUGCUUGUUUAACAUUUGAUGCAUUUUUUUCUGCACAGAAUAUAGAACACAUGCAUAAUCUAUGGACAAUUACAUUAUAGCAGACGUUUAUUUUAGAGGCUUAAAUGUUGUUUUUUUUUUUAUUUGAAUAUUUUGCUGUAGUUUAUGCUUUUCUACUUUUCUAAAACACACAAAACUGGUGCAAAGUCCAUACAGGUGUUUCUUUUCUUUUUUCGGAUUCACAAUUCUCCAGUAAAUUGUAUAAACGUCAACAUGACUGUAUGAGGCUAAACACCGUUAUAUGUACGUAUUCUGGCUUUAUUUGAGUUUAUAGUCCAGUUAUAUUGUAGUGUCCAUUUUCUAAUAAAGCCAAAUUGUAAUA